rnacentral:sRNA from 1 species
ACCAUUAGUAAGAACUUAAGCGGGUGGGAUUUGCCCACUCGCUUUUCUUAAAAUAUGGUAUAAUCAGAAU